GGCCUGCACCGCCGAUUCGCUGACAGGCGGCCGAGCGAACACCCGGGCGAGGCCCAGCGGCGCGUCACGCAAGCGGCGGCGAAGACCUCCCGCCUCCCGCCCUCGCUCGCCGCACGCACGCGCACUGCGCCCAGCAUGAGGGUCGCGGCUCUGAUCAGCGGUGGGAAGGACAGCUGCUAUAAUAUGAUGCAGUGCAUUGCUGCUGGACAUCAGAUUGUUGCUUUAGCAAAUCUAAGACCAGCUGAAAACCAAGUGGGGUCUGAUGAACUGGAUAGCUACAUGUAUCAAACAGUGGGUCACCAUGCCAUUGACUUGUAUGCAGAAGCAAUGGCUCUUCCCCUCUAUCGGCGAACCAUAAGAGGAAGGAGCCUGGAUACAAGACAAGUGUACACCAAAUGUGAAGGUGAUGAGGUUGAAGAUCUCUAUGAGCUUUUGAAACUUGUUAAGGAAAAAGAAGAAAUAGAGGGGAUAUCAGUAGGUGCUAUACUUUCUGACUAUCAGCGUGUUCGAGUGGAAAAUGUGUGUACAAGGCUUAAUCUCCAGCCUUUAGCCUACCUUUGGCAGAGAAACCAGGAAGAUUUGCUCAGAGAAAUGAUAUCAUGUAACAUUCAAGCAGUGAUCAUCAAAGUAGCAGCUUUGGGCUUAGAUCCUGAUAAGCAUCUUGGGAAAACCCUGGAUCAAAUGGAGCCUUAUCUUGUAGAGCUUUCGAAGAAGUAUGGAGUACAUGUUUGUGGAGAAGGUGGAGAGUAUGAAACUUUCACUUUGGAUUGCCCUCUAUUUAAGAAGAAAAUAAUUGUACAAGGAAACCUAAGCCUGACAGAGACAGUGGCAUGAAGGGAAUUACUCAUGCUUUUAAAGAGAAGAUGUCAGGGAAGGUGGUUAGAACCCUCUAGUACUAACAUGAGCUGUUCAGUGCAAAAUGUGAGUACAACUCUGCAAUGCUGCCCUGCUCUGUAGGGAGUGCUUCCUGUAACCUAAGAGAUGGACAGGCAAAUCAACAAUAAGUGGUUAUAACUUGAAGUUACAGUUGGGAAAUAUCGUCAUUUGGUAGAAAAAGGAUAUCACUUAAUGUAAACAAAAUCUCCCGUCCUCUUUAAAAUUGAAAUUUCCUAAGUAUACCUGCCUAAUAUACACUAAAUAUGAAGAUGUGAGUGGACAUGUUUUGUGCAUUAUAAAACUGUAUGUAAAUUAAAGUUUUAUUAUUUAGAUAUAAUCAUCUGUAUAAUACAAUUAAAAGAUGAGCUUAAUUCCUAUAAUUGUUUUUUAACAAUUGACUCUUAAUAAUUCUGGAUCCAAUCAUUUAGAAUUCAUUUUGGGGACAAAGUUAAUAACUUUUAUUAUAUUUGAUGUAAUAGUGGUCUGCCACAAUUAGCAUGCAACUAAUCAUUUACUUGGAAUCCCAUUUCAAAUGUCUGAUUCAAAUUUUAUUUUUUGUAAAAAAAAAGUAGACUACCUCUAAGGUGACAAAAAAUAAACUUUUACAAGCAAAAUUAUUUGAUUAUAAUUAGAGAUCUUUAAAACAGGAUUGAAUCUUUUUUGUAUAAUGGAGUAAUUUAGAGAGAUCAGGGUAGUUCUGGAAGUUUAUUAUGCCAGGGUGCUGUGGCUCACACCUGUAAUCACAACACUUUGAGAGGCCAGAGCAAGAAGAUCACUUGAAACCAGCAGUUCAAGGCUGCAGUCAGCUAUAAUUGCACCACUGAACUCCAUCCUGGGCAACAUUGCAAGACCCUGUCUAUAAAAAAAAAUAUGAAUAACAGUAAUAAAAAAUAAUAAAUAAAUAGAAGUUUAUUGUGAAAUACCUUUUGGCCAAAUUCCAGUUCACAUUUUAAAAUGUUUUUAGAAAAGACUGGUAUAACAGUCUUUGUUGGAAGUAAUUUUUUAUAUUUCUACCUAGAAUCGUUUACAAUUCACUUUUUGUAUCUAUUAAUAUAUGAAGUCACUCACCUCUAGAUACAAAUUUUGAAAUGAGAAAAUGAGGUUUUCUUCCCAUAGAAGCCCCCUGGGAAGAAUUAUAGCCUAGCUUUUAAGAGACAAGGAUAAUUGUAGGUCCUCAAAGUAAAAACCUGCUUUCUUAUUAUUUACUUUAUAUAUAUAUUAUUUGAAUAACUAAAAUUUUAAAGUUGUGUUAAUGAAAGAAAUCAUUUUCUUGUUUCUGUUCAUGAAUACAUUUUUAUGUCAGUAUUUGAGAUAAUUCUAUAGUUCUAUUUGAAUCAUUAGUAUAUUAUUGCUACAAAGUUGCUACUUAUGUGAUGGAUGGAUGAUGGAUGGAUGGGUGGAUGGAAGAAUAAGAAUGAAAAAAAGAAUAAAGGAAGAACCAAAUCCUAUGGUUAAAAUACUGUAUCCUCAUUUUCAUCCCCACCUACUCAUAUUUUCUGCCCACUUAAGGCAUAACUAUAACUAGUACAGAACACUGUAAUACAGAGUAUCAGAAUGAGGAAGAAGCAAGUACUCUACCUUAAUUGCCUUCUUACAUUGAUUCUGUAUCAUCUGAGAUUAUUUAAAUUUAUGAACCAUUUCCUUACAUUUAAAUUCUCUGACAUAUUAAUCUUUAUUUUUGUUGUGCUAGAGAUAUCAUAUAGUGCUAUUGGUAUAUAUGUGCAUACAUGAAUAUGUUUAUAUAUGCAAUAUGUAUGUAUAAGAAAGUGUGUACAGUUGUGAGAGACUUCAUGUGGAAACAUUCUGAGAAAUGCAUUGUUUGGCAAUUUUGUCAUUUUGUAAGCACCAGAGAUACACCUAGGCUAUAUGCUCCUAGGCUACAAACCUGGACAGCAUAUUACUGUACUUGAGACUAUGAUUAACUGUAACAAAGUGGUGAUAUUUGUAUAUCUAAAUGUAUCUCAACAUAGAAAAGGUACAGUAAAAAUAUGAUAUAAAAAAAAUUUUAAAUGAUACACCUGUAUAGGGCACUUACCAUGAAUGGAGCUUGCAGGACUGGAAGUUGCUAUGGGUGAUUCAGUGAAUGAGUGGUGAGUAAAUGUGAAGGUGUAGGACAUUACUGUAUACUUUAAAAACACUGUAUUCUUAAUCUACACUAAGUUCAUUUUAAAAAUUAAAUUGUGCUACAACAUUAUGACAGCUAUGAUGUCACAAAGUGAUAGGAAUUUUUCAGCUCCAUUAUAAUCUAAGGGCACCACCCUAAUACACAGUCGGGUUUUAACCAAAAAUGGCAUCAUGUGGCACUGACUAUAUUACAUAUAGAUAGGUAAUUUAAAAAUCAUUGUUGAGUUUCUAAUCGUUUCACUAAUUGGUAUGUAAUUGUGAGGAUACUUAUUAAGUUUAACUGUACAUUUAUUUAUUCAACAAAUAUCUAAUAAAUACCAGGCAAUGUACUUUUUACAGAGCUCAGGGCAGGGUAGAACAGGGACAGGCAGACAAAGAUGAAAAAAAUUGUUUCCUCUCUCAGAAGAAAGGCACACAAACAUGUAAUUGUAAUGUAGUGGUUGUGUUAUGAAAGGACUAUAAAUGUGAUACAAAGCACAUAGAGGAGAAAACUAGCACCAUCUGAGGAUGUCAGGGAAGGCCUCAUGGAAGUAACAUUUGAGAUGUCUGUGAGAAUAAGUAUGAGUCCAUGGAGAAUAUCUGUAUACCUUUUAGUGAACAUAGAAACCAUAUGUUUGAGCAAGAGAGGUUAACAGUGGUUCAGUCCCAGCCUAGCAUAGUUGUCCUUUUAGAGGAGAGGUGGGGACCAAGACCAUGGCUGAGUCUCAAGAGGGAAUACCAGUUUUUUUGUUUUUGAGGUGGGAGGUAGGGCCUGAUUCCACACCUCAGGAGUCUGAUAUCAAGGAAGAGAGGUCCAAGCCAAACCUAGCUGCCCUUUUGGUGUUGUUAAGUAAAGGUGAGCCUACUGUAGUAAUUAAAGAGAACAUGAGCAUGCUCUUGGCUGUGGAAAAGACACAGCUAUAUGACAGGUGGUAACUGCUGUACCGAUUACUUAUAUUAAUGGAGAAAGGAGAGGAGGACAGCCAGCUGGGAAGCAUUUUUGCUGUAGCAAAAUGGUCUUAAUUUUCUGGAUUAAUCAGAGAAUAUUCUGACAGAUUCUGCUUUUAGGGUUCAGGGAAACCUGUGAAGCAGAGACCAGAGUUCCUUGAAAUUUGAAUGUCAGGUGGUGGUAUAUGAGAGAGAAGAGCAAUAGUGAGUGGUAUUAUUCUGCUCGAAACUAAGGGCUGUUGAUUUGAAAUCCAGUCUCUCCCAGUUGACUCUUGCUUUGUAUAAGUGAAUGAAAUGAUGUUAGUCAAUAAGAGAUUAUGAAUUUAAUAGAAUUCAUAAAAAUCACCGUCUUUAUUUAGUGCUCAGAAUGUCAUAUAUUCUCUCUGGAUAACAAUCUUGACUCAAAUCAUUUAAACUAUUUGCUGUCAUCCCUCUGUUUCUAGUGGGAUUAAUUGACAUGAGAAGGGAGGGCCUAAAAUCCUUUCUACUGAGAUAAUAUUAGUUCAGAUUAAUUAUACUUUUGGCACACCCCAUUGUCAAUAAUAUCAAAACCAAACUGCCUGAAUUAGAUAUAGUUAAGGGUCAGGGUCAAUUUCCAAGGCUAAGGUCUGGAACAGAGAUACUAAUAGUAAAAUUGUAAAUAGAAAUUGAGGUUUGACUAAAGAGCCAGGAUAUGACCAGAGCAGGCAACGGUCGAGGAAAUGGAAAAACAUUAAGACUAGGGUUAACAAACCAAGUUGGGGUCAAGCCAGAGGGACAGGUGGUAGCAAGCAGAAGGGCCUCCUCUGUACUUUCUGUUUCUGCUGCCACUCCUCAUCAUACCUGGAGGCAUCUUUGGUUGAUGUAGACUGUGAAGGCAAAUUAUCUUUCCAUCAGGAUUCUGAAUCUUUAAUCAUUCUAUGUCUCUUAUAAGUUGCCUUCCUUUUAAUGUUGUGGAAGCCUGUUUAAUGUUUUUUUUUUUUAAGCAUUAGAAAGAUGCGUAUUUGAUACUAAAGGUUUAUGAAUGAUAAUUGGGGUUUUUUUAAUCAUUAAAUUGACUUUUUUUGAUCUUUCAAGUGGAAGGUAAACAUUUUGCUUAAUUAAUUAAUAAUUUGGAGCCAAAUAUUUUGAGAUUUCUUCUGUUGCCACCCAGUUACUUUGCAUGAUACAAGUUGAUUCAAAAAUAUUUUUAUAUUAGUCACAAAAAGUCAAUGUCAGGAUUUAUUUUGCUAUGCUAUAAUAGUCAAAAUGCUGUCUAUUUAAAUAAUAGAAGUACCUCCCAAGGCAUUAAAGAGAUAUGAGGAAUUUCCAUUUUUAAAUUUUCACUUGAAAUUCAAAACAUUAUUACUCUCUUAAUAAACAAUAAAAAUCAUUAGUUUUUUGAACUUUACACAUAAUCUUAGUUAUUCGUAUGUGCUUUACAGGGUAUCUUUGAUAAAAGUUGAGUUAAUUUACAUGUAUCCAUAUGGUGCCAGCAUGCAGUUCAUACCAUUUUACCUGAAUGUGGUAAUUACUAUGUCAGACAAUCAAUUUUAAUAGCAAUGAUACUGCAGUGUGAAGAGUUCAUCUAGAGCCUAAAACCGUCACCAGUACUGCUUUCAUGAAAGAUAAUUGAGAUUUUGUGUGAAACAUUGAAUGAAUUACCUCUUGAAAAUGAAAAGAAUAAUGAAGAUAAAGCACUAAUGUUUAAUGCUUAGCCUAUACCAAGCAAAUAUGUGGAAAUGAAAUUGAACAGAAAUUUAAGUCUUAACACUGUUUAGAGAGCUUUGAGUGAACCUGAAAGUUGAACUCUUAUGUUUUUAUGAAAAUAGAAAGCUUCAUUGUUUUUUCUUAAAAGUUUAGUAUUCUUGAACCUUUUACCAAUUAAAUACUGGAAUAUUAAAAAUAUGUAUUAGUCACUACAUGUUGUAUACCAAUGGAAAUCAAUAUAAAAUAAGAAUUGUCAGUCUUAUUUAGUCAGUAGAAGGAGUGAUUUAUCAUAGUUUAUGUAGCAUAUAAAUGUAUUAUAAAAUUUUUUUCUUUCAGGGAUUCAUCAGAAGUAAUCAUACAUUCAGCUGAUGCAUUUGCACCUGUGGCUUAUCUACGCUUUUUAGAAUUGCACUUGGAGGACAAG